rnacentral:sRNA from 1 species
CGGAAAUUCGAAUAAUCCAAAAGGUGUU